rnacentral:rRNA from 1 species
UAUAUGACUAUCGGCAACAGAUAUCUCAGCUCUCGCAUCGAUGAAGAACGUAGCAAAAUACGAUACUUGGUGUGAAUGGCAAAAUCCCGUGAACCAUAGAGUCUUUGAACACAAGUUGUGCCUGAGGCCUUUUGGCUGAGGGCAUGCCUUCCUGGGCGUCACUC